GCCGGGUGUGGUGGCGGGAGCCUGUAAUCCCAGCUUCUUGGGAGGCUGAGGCAUGAGAAUUGCUUGAACCCAGGAGGCUGAGACUGCAGUGAGCCAAGAUUGUACCACUGCACUCCAGCCUGGGUGACAGAGCAAAACUCUGCCUCAA
ensembl:misc_RNA Metazoa_SRP Metazoan signal recognition particle RNA